rnacentral:rRNA from 1 species
AGCGAACGCUGGCGGCAGGCUUAACACAUGCAAGUCGAGCGGGCGUAGCAAUACGUCAGCGGCAGACGGGUGAGUAACGCGUGGGAACGUACCUUUUGGUUCGGAACAACUGAGGGAAACUUCAGCUAAUACCGGAUAAGCCCUUACGGGGAAAGAUUUAUCGCCGAAAGAUCGGCCCGCGUCUGAUUAGCUAGUUGGUGAGGUAACGGCUCACCAAGGCGACGAUCAGUAGCUGGUCUGAGAGGAUGAUCAGCCACAUUGGGACUGAGACACGGCCCAAACUCCUACGGGAGGCAGCAGUGGGGAAUAUUGGACAAUGGGCGCAAGCCUGAUCCAGCCAUGCCGCGUGAGUGAUGAAGGCCCUAGGGUUGUAAAGCUCUUUUGUGCGGGAAGAUAAUGACGGUACCGCAAGAAUAAGCCCCGGCUAACUUCGUGCCAGCAGCCGCGGUAAUACGAAGGGGGCUAGCGUUGCUCGGAAUCACUGGGCGUAAAGGGUGCGUAGGCGGGUCUUUAAGUCAGGGGUGAAAUCCUGGAGCUCAACUCCAGAACUGCCUUUGAUACUAAGGAUCUUGAGUUCGGGAGAGGUGAGUGGAACUGCGAGUGUAGAGGUGAAAUUCGUAGAUAUUCGCAAGAACACCAGUGGCGAAGGCGGCUCACUGGCCCGAUACUGACGCUGAGGCACGAAAGCGUGGGGAGCAAACAGG